rnacentral:lncRNA from 1 species
GCUCACCCACCUCUCUUCAUUCUAAAGCAGACGCUACUAAAGUUCACACUCUUCAUCCUUGUCAUGUUUACGCUCAACAGAUUCAUCCAUAUGUGAAUUUGGGUGGGAGCUUCUAUCAAUAAGCAUUUUUUUUGUGCAAAACUUUCCCAUGUUAAUGAUUUCUGGGAAUGGUCUCUUUGUAUAGGUUGCAUAAAAUGGUUAGCGGUCGAGCUAAUCAUUAGUCUUAAGUUUGGCAUAGAGCUGGCAGCACCCACCAAUUUUCCAAUUGCUCACACCUUGGUUUUGUGUUUCACUGUUUUGCUGGUUCUCAAGCUCGAUAACGUCGUCGAUUACUCCUGGUGCUAAAUUGAGUCUGUUUGUGCUUGGUUCACGGUUUCGUCGAGGUUGUUGCUUUGUUUAGUCCGAUUGAUUUGCAAUUUUCAGCUUUGUUCAUCAAUGAAGGUCUAAUUCUUACUUGAUACUCCUCUAAAUUUCAAGUUUGAUUUUGAUGGUAUGAUUCAGACUAUGCUUCCGACGAGUGAUAUUUAGCUUAAUUGAUAUUUGAUUAUUGGGACUCAAUUUUUUUUUUGCGUUGAUGAAUACUCUGGAAUCUUGUGUUUAAUUUAAUUUGACUUGAAUGCCACCUAGUUAAAGAGCUAGACCUACUGGUUGAUUGUUGGAAGAGAAGGGAUGGAAACUUUAGGUGAAAAUAUAGUAAUUUUAAGUUUUUUUUAAUUAGAUUAUAUUGUUUCCUGAUUUUCCAAACACUAAAUUAACAUGUGAGCUCUAACUUCAACAAUCUCGAUGUCUAUUUUGCCGUGGACUCUCCUUAAUUUAAUUAAGAGAAUGUGGAGUGGAUUUUUUACAAGUUAAAAGCUGCACAUUCCUUUUGCAAUCUUGUUAUCACUUCUUAUUAUCAUAACUUUUUCUUGUUUAACCUCUAAGUAAGUAUUGAUUUGCGGACACAUUUACUUGCACAAAUACAUCAUAUGGCUGGGAACAUGCAUUAAUUUACUAAUGGAUUUAUAGCUUUCAAAUUGUAGCUGCUGACUUGUGUGUGGAAAAUCUUUAUUAGCUAUUAGGAAAAUAAAAAUGAAUAUCGUAGUUUGCUUUAGGCGUGAUGAAUAAUCAAUUAUCAUGACUAUAAGUACGGUUCUCGUGGCAUAGUCAUGAUAUAUAAUCUCCAAUUCGGGUGUGCAUUUUAUGUGACCCGACCAUAAUUUUAAAUAAUAAUAAAAUAAAUAUGUGGUAGAUCGCGGGUGCAUUUUAUGUGACACGGUUUGCAAUGUGUACAACACGACAAGUGUACGAUAAUUGUGCCUUGUUCCAGAAAUAAUUCCAUAAAAAGCGGUUAGAAGGUUAAAAAUAUACAUUAGGUUUUAAAUAUAUAAUUAAUCAGAUAAUUAGGCCAAUUAUUAAUAGUUGAGCGACCGUGCUAAAACCACGGAACUCGCCAGUGCCUAACACCUUCUCCUGGAUUAACAAAAUUCCUUACUCGAUCUUCUGUAUUCACAGACCAUAAAUAAGAGUCAAUUUUCUCGAUUUGGGAUUUAAAAUAAACCGGUGACUUGGGACACCAUAAACUAUUCCAAGUGGCGACUCUAUAAUAAAUAAAUAAUCUCAUUUCGAUUUAUGUCACUUUAAUUGGAAAAACUCCCUUAUAGCCCCUUUCGGGGUAGAAAAAGGAUGUGUGACAGGCGCCCAUGAUGCUUGGUUUUGGGUCGUGACAAGUUGGUAUCAGAGCCUAGGUUACAUAGGUCUUACGAGUCAUGAGCAGGUUUAGUAGAGUCUUGUGGAUCGGUACAGAAAUGUUUGUACUUAUCUUCGAGAGGCUGCCGAACCCUUAGGAAACUUCACAUUCUUGAAUUCUUGUCGUGUGAAUCUAUUGAUUCUAGUAGCUAAAAUUUUGCUAUUCUAUUUUUUCACAGAUGGUGAGAGCACGUACUACUGGGUAGGAUGGACAACCACCAGUACCAGCCGCGAGAUACCGAGGUCGCGGUAAAGGAUGUGGUAGGGGUAGAGGUACAGCUCGCACACCAGCUAGGGCAGUACCUGCAGAUCGACCAGUUGCUAGUUCAGGAGCAGGUCCCAGUUGUGGAUGCGCCAGUGGGGCCAGCUCAGGCACCGCCCAUACCUAUUGUGAUUCCAGGCCUUCAGGAGGCCUUAACUCAAAUUCUGACUGCGUGCACCAGUCUUGCUCAGGCAGUCUCUAUUUCGGCCGCAGCAACCACUUCUCAGGUAGGGGGAGGCACCAGAAUCUCGCCGCCCUCACACUAGAGUAGGUGAUGGAGGGACUCCAGACACCGGAGGCACCACCAGCCCAACCGGUUACAGCUGCUCAGGACUAUGUGGUUCCUGUCAUGCCUGAUGAUGAGUAGCAUAGAUUGGAGAGGUUUGAGAGACUCCAGCCUCCAUCUUUCAGUGGUACAGAGGCGGAAGAUGCACAUGGAUUUUUGGAUAAGUGUCAGAGAAUGCUCCGUACAACAGGUAUUCUAGAGACUAGUGGUGUCUCGUUAACUAUUUUUCAGUUCUUUGGAGCUGCCUUCAGUUGUGGAGGCUUAUAAGAGACGUAGGCUUGUCGGUACAGCACCAUUACCUAGUAGGAGUUCAUCGUUCUCUUCUUGGAGAAGUUCAUGUCGCAGUCUCGCAAAAAGGAGCUGUGUAGAUAGUUUGAGCAGUUAUGUCAGGAUGAUAUUUCCGUGACGCAGUACAAGAUGAGGUUUUCUAAGUUAGACUAUCAUGCAGUUUGGUUAGUUCCCACUGAUAGGGAAAGGAUCAGGAGGUUCAUUGAUAGACUCACAUUUCAGUUGCGGGUGCUUAUGACUAGAGAGAGGGUAUCCAGUGCUACUUUCAAUGAGGUUGUUGACAUUGCUCGACAGAUAGAGUUGGUCCGCAGCCAGGAGCGGGUUGAGAGGGAGGCCAAGAGGUCUCGUGGAUCAGGUGGUUUUAGUGGUGUUCCUUUUGGAGGUCAGUUAUACCAUGAUAGGGGUCGUCCUUACAGGCAUGCUCCGACGGCUCGCGCAGUUCGCCGUGGUGCAUCAUCUAGCCAUGGUUCUCACAGUUCUCAUCAGGGUCACUCAUCUCUCAGUGCCCUUCUAGCUUAGAGUUCGUUUCAUGCACCAUCAGCUCAGGGUUCAUCCAUGUCGGGGCGUUCUAGCAGUUAUCUCGAGGCUCCCUUCAGUCCCCAUCGCCAUUUGCAAGGAGAGGUUGCUUUGAGUGUGGAGAUAUGGGUCAUAUCAAGAGGCAUUGUCCCCGCCUCUUAUGAGGUUCAGCUCAGCAGAGGAGUCAGCCUACGACUUCAACACCAGUUACUUCACCACCCACCCAGCCAGUUCGGGGUGUAGCUCAGUCAGCUAGGGGCUGCCCUAAAGGAGGAGGCCAAUUAGGUGGCGGCCAGGCCCGAUUCUAUGCACUCCCUACCAGACCAGAUGCUAUUGCUUCAAACACCGUGAUCACAGGUAUUGUCUCAGUAUGUCAUUAAGAUGCUUCUGUAUUAUUUGAUCCUAGUUCCACCUAUUCAUAUGUAUCAUCGUAUUUUACUCAUUAUCUGGAUAUGCCCCGUAAGUCUUUAGUUUCUUCAAUUCAUGUAUCUACGCCGAUGGGCGAUACUAUUAUUAUGGACCGGUCGUGUGUAGUGGCUAUCAAGGGAUUGGAGACUAGAGUUGAUCUCUUGCUUCUUAGUAUGGUUGAUUUUGACGUGAUCUUAGGUAUGGAUUGGUUGUCUCCAUGUCUUGCAAUUUUGGAUUGUCAUGCUAAGACUGUAACGUUGGCAAUGCCGGGGUUGCCACAGAUUGAGUGACGAGGUUCUUUAGACUAUGUUUCUAGUAGAGUGAUUUCAUACUUGAAGGCCUAGCGGAUGGUUGGGAAGGGUUGUCUCUCUUAUUUGGCCUUUGUAAGGGAUGCCAGUGCAGAAACCCCUACUAUUGAUUCUGUUCUGGUGGUGUAAGAGUUUCUGGAUGUGUUUUCUGCAGACCUGCCAGGCAUGCCACCCGACAGGGACAUUGAUUUUGGUAUUGACUUGGUGCCGGGCACUCAGCCCAUUUUUAUUCCUCCGUACCGUACGACACCGGUUGAAUUGAAGGAGUUGAAAGAGCAACUUCAAGAACUCCUUGAGAAGGGAUUUAUUAGGCCUAGUGUGUCAACUUAGGGUGUAUCAGUUCUGUUCGUGAAGAAGAAGGAUGACACUAUGAGAAUGUGCAUUGACUAUAGAAAGUUGAACAAAGUCACAAUUAAGAACAAGUAUCCUUUGCCGUGUAUUAAUGAUAUAUUUGACCAGCUUCAGGGAGCGAGGGUGUUCUCCAAGAUUGAUUGGAGGUCUGGGUAUCACUAGUUGAAGAUUCGGGACUCGGAUAUUCUUAAGAUAGAUUUUAGGACCCAUUCGUGAUGUCUUUUGGGUUGACCAACACCCCAACAACGUUCAUGCAUCUGAUGAACAAUAUAUUUUGGCCUUAUCUCGACUCGUUUGUUAUUGUGUUCAUUGAUGAUAUCCUAGUGUACUCUCGUAGCCAGGAAGAGCACGCCCAAUAUUUGAGGGUCGUGUUGCAGCGGUUGAGGGAGAAGCUUUAUGCCAAGUUCUCCAAGUGUGAGUUUUGGCUCAGUUCAGUGGUUUUCUUGGGGCACGUAGUGUCUAGUGAGGGUAUUCAGGUGGAUCAAAAGAAGAUAGAGGCGGUUUAGAGUUGGCCCAGACCGUCCUCAACUACAAAGAUUCAGAGCUUUCUUGGUUUGGCUAGUUAUUACUGUCGCUUCGUGCAAGGUUUCUCGUUUAUUGCAUCUCCUUUAACCAAAUUGACCCAAAAUGGUGCUCUUUUCAGGUGGUCGAAUGAGUGUGAGGAGAGCUUUCAGAAGCUCAAGACUGCCUUGACCACCACUCCAAUUCUAGUUCUACCAUCAGCUUCUGAUUCUUAUACAGUAUACUGUGAUGCUUCUCAGAUCGGUAUUGGGUAUGUUUUGAUACUGGAGGUAGAGUAAUUGUUUAUGCUUCUCGUCAGUUGAAGCCUCAUAAGAAGAACUACCAUGUUCAUGAUUUGGAGUUGGCUGUCAUUGUUCAUGCGUUAAAAAUUUGGAGGUACUACCUCUAUGGUGUGUCUUGUGAAAUAUUUACUGAUCAUUAUAGCCUCCAGUAAUUGUUCAAAUAAAAGGAUGUAAAUUUGAGGCAGCGGAGAUAGUUGGAGCUGCUAAAGGACUAUGAUAUUACUAUUUUGUGUCAUUUGGGAAAGGCCAAUGUGGUGGUCAAUGCCUUGAGUAGGAAGGCAGUGAGUAUGGGUAGUCUUGCAUUCAUUCCUGUUGGUGAGAGACCUCUUGCAGUUGAUGUUUAAGCCCUGGCGAACCAGUUCGUGAGAUUAGAUGUUUCAGAGUCCAGUCGGGUUCUAGCUUGUGUGGUUUCUCGGUCUUCCUUAUUUGAUCGCAUCAUAGAGCACCAGUAUAAUGAUCCUCAUUUGCUUGUCCUCAAGGACAGGGUUCAGCACGGUGAUGCCAGAGAUGUUUCUAUAGGAGAUGGUGAGGUGUUGAGGAUGCAAGGCCAGAUAUGUGUGCCCAAUGUAGAUGGGCUACGAAAGUUUAUUCUUGAGGAGGCCCACAGUUCGCGGUAUUUCAUCUAUCCGGUUGCCGCGAAGAUGUACCAGGAUUUGAGACGGCACUAUUGGUAGAGGAAAAUAAAGAAGGAUAUAGUUGGGUUUGUAGCUCGAUGUCUCAAUUGUCAGCAGGUAAAUUAUGAGCAUCAAAGACCGGGUGGAUUACUUCAGAGGAUAGAGAUUUCGGAGUAGAAGUGGGAGCGGAUCACCAUGGAUUUCAUAGUUAGGCUCCCACGGACUUCGAGGAAGUUCGAUGCUAUUUGGGUGAUUGUGGAUCGGCUAACCAAGUCCCCACACUUUAUUCCAGUGGGUACUACUUAUUCUUCAGAUCGGUUGGCCGAGAUUUACAUCAAGGAGAUUGUUCACCUUCAUGGUGUGCCAGUUUCCAUCAUUUUAGAUAGAGGCACGCAGUUUACAUUGCAUUUUUAGAGAGCCGUGCAGCGAGAGUUAGGCCUUUAGGUUGAGUUGAGUACAACAUUUCACCUUCAGACAGAUGACAGUUCGAGCGCACUAUUCAGAUAUUGGAGAACAUGCUACACGCUUGUGUCAUUGAUUUCGGGGGUUCAUGGGACCAAUUUCUGCCGCUCGCGGAGUUUUCUUACAACAACAGUUAUCAGUCGAGCAUUCGGAUGGCCCCGUAUGAGGCUUUGUAUGGGAGGCGGUGUAGAUCUCCAGUGGGUUAGUUUGAGCCGGGCGAGGCUAAGUUAAUGGGUACUGACUUGGUUCAGGAUGCUUUGGACAGGGUUAAAUUGAUUCAAGAGCGACUUCACACUGUGCAGUCUAGACAGAAGAGUUAUGUUGACAGGAAGGUCCGUGAUGUGUCUUACAUGGUUGGGGAGAAGAUUUUGCUAAAGGUUUCACCCAUGAAGGGUGUUAUGAGAUUUGGGAAGAAGGGCAAAUUGAGCCCUCGGUUCAUUGGGCUUUUGAGGUAAUUCAGAGGAUUGGGGAGGUGGCUUACAAGCUUGCCUUGCCACAUAGCUUGUCGAGUGUGCAUCUAGUUUUUCAUGUUUCUAUGCUCCAGAAGUAUAUCGACUAUCCGUCUCAUGUUUUGGAUUUCAACACGGUUCAGUUGGAUGGUGAUUUGACUUAUGAUGUGGAGCCGGUGGCCAUUUUGGAUCGGCAGGUUCGAAAGUUGAGAUCAAAGGAUAUAGCUUUAGUAAAGGUGCAGUGGAGAGGUUAUUCUGUGGAGGAGGCUACUUGGGAGACCGAGUGGGAGAUGCAGAGCAGAUAUCUACACAUAUUUGAGACUCCAGGUAUAUUUCUUAACCCGUUUGAGGACAAAUGUUUAUUUAAGAGGGGGAGGACGUAACGACCCGGCCGGUCAUUUCGAGAGUUAUAGCCUUGUUCCCCUAUUUUCUGCUCCUUUUGUGUUCUACAACUGUUAUAUGACUUACCGAGUUGGUUGGUUUGGAUCUGGAGAGAUUUCAUAGUGAAUUGAGACACUUAGUCUCUUAAUUGAAAGCUUAAGUUGGAAAAGUUGAUCGGAUGUCAACUUAUGUGUAAACGACCUCUAAUUUAAAUUUUGAUGGUUAUGUUAGCUCCAUUAGGUGAUUUUGGACUUAGGAGCGCAUCUGAAUUAGAAUUUGGAGGUCCGUAGUAGAGUUAGGCUUGAAAUGACAAAAAAUGGAAUUUUGGAGAGUUUGACUGGGAGUGAACUUUUUGAUAUCGGGGUCGGAUUGGAUUUCUGGAAGUUGGAGUAAGUUCGUCGUGUCAUUUAUGACUUGUGUGCAAAAUUUGAGGUCAAUUAGGCGUGAUUUGAUAGGUAUCAGCGUCAUUUGUAGAAUUUGGAAAUUUCAAAUUUCAUUAGGCUUGAAUCCGUGUGUAAUUCGUGUUUUUGAUGUUGUUUGAGGUGAUUUGAGGGUUCGACUAAGUUCGUAUGAUGUUUUGAGACUUGAUGGAAUAUUUGGUUGAGGUCCCGGGGGCCUCGGAUGAAUUUCGGGUGGUUAACGGAUCAUUUUUGGACUUAGGUUGCUGGGUGAUAACUGCUGGUGUGUUUCUUCUGGUUUCCUCUUACGCGUUCGUGGGGCAGGGUUCACGUUCGCGAAGAGUGGAGUUGGCUAAGCUUCGCGUUCGGGAAGCUGUGGUCGCAUUCACAAAGUGUUAAAUUGAGAGCCAGGCAAAUUGGUCUAUGUGAACGCGAGCAAAAGGACGCAUUCGCGAUGAAAGUGCAUUAGGGCAGAUUUAAACGAUUCAAAACGAGGGUUUCGAGUUCAUAUCAUAAAAUUGAAGUGGGAGCUCGGUAGAAGGAGAUUUUUGGAGAGAUUCUUGCGUGGGUGUUUGGGGUAAGUGAUUCCUAUCUAAUUUUGGUCAAAUUCAUGCUUUAAUUCCAUCAUCUAAUUGUGAUUUAGGGAGGAAACUUUGGAAAAAUGAAGAAGAGUUCUUGGAGUAGAUUUUUGAGGUUUUGAAUGGGAUUUUGUUAUCGGAUUUGAGUAAAUUUGGUAUGGUUAGACUCGUGAGUGAAUGUACUUUCGAAUUUUGUGACUUUUGUCGGAUUUCGAGAUUUUGGCUAUAAUUUAGUGUUUUUCUUGUGCAAUUGAUCCCUUUAGCCUAUAUUAAUUGUAUUGUACUUCUUGUGGCUAUAUUCAGGACGUUUGGAGACUGAUUUGAGAGGCAAAUGCAUUGUAGAGUAGAGUUUUGCCCGGAUUGAGGUAAGUAACACUUUCAAACUUGAUUCUGAGCGUUUGAAACCCCAAAUUAUAUUUUAUGUGAUUGGUAUUGAGGUGACACAAAUGCUAAGUGACGGGCAUGCGGGAGUGCAUCAUGAAAAUUAUGAAUUGGUUGAUUCCAUGGCACUGUAUAGUGGAUCUAUCUUGUUGAUAUUUGUGUUUUUAUCUUGUGAGAAAGUAAUAGAGUUGUCAAUCAUGCUAGAUAUCAUGUUUGGGCUUUAUGCUAGUACUGUUGGGACCCAUAGUGGUCGUUUCUUGCGGUCAUGUUACUGAAUUCAUUGAUGUUUCAUAUUCAGUCAUAUUCAUUCAUUUCAUAUCAUAUCUUAGUUUCAGUUGUUAUUUAUUGAUACAUCAUAUCAUUAUUUUCGGGAUAGUUUCAUGAUAUUGUGAGCCCGUAAAUGAGGCUGGAGAGAUUGAUGACUGAGUAUGGCCGGGGGCCUGGUUAUGAGUGACAGUUAUGGGAUCGGGUUGUACGCUGCAUCGAUUAUACUGAUUUAUGAUAGCGCUUGGGGUGAAGGAGCCCCUCCGGAGUCUGUACACCCCCUCCAGUGAGCGCGAUUGAUAUUGAAGGAUGGAUCUUCCCUGGAAAUGGAUCUUAUCCAAAGCAUUAUAUACCUAGAGAUAGAUCUUCUCCACGGGAUGGAUUGGCCUUACUCGGUACUGGGUGACUAAUGGUCAAUGAUGUGUAUAUAUUCCGAGAUGGAUCUUCCCUGGGCAGCAUGGGCCAUAUAUAGUACGGAGUAUUGAGCAUUUGAGAGUGUGAGCACAUGAGGCUAUUAGUAUGGUGCUAGCACGUACAUCAUGUGCAUUGGCAUGUAGAAGUAGAAAAGUUAUAUUCUUCACAUUGUUCAGACUUGAUCUAUUUUACUGUUUGAGCUAUCUGAUUAACAUGAAAGCAUGCCUACAUUUCUGCAUUGCUAUUUCUAUUUUGAACUGUGCCGGUUGAGUUCUCACUACCUUUCAGUCCAAAGGUUGGACUUGUUACUUACUGAGUUGGUUGUACUCACGUUACACCCUGCACCUCGUGUGCAGAUCCAGGUGCUUCGGGUCACGGAGGUUGUUGAUCGAGGAAUUAGGAUUUGGAGACUAUCGAGGUAGCUACAUGGCGUUUGCAGGCCUUGACUCUCCUUCAUUAUCUCUAUCUGUACUUCAGUUUUUAUUCCUUAGACAUUGUUGUAUACUAUAUUCCGGUAUAGAUGCUUAUAUACUCUGUG